rfam:Ovis aries breed Texel chromosome 1, whole genome shotgun sequence.
UCCCUGGUGGCUCAAAUGGUAAAAGCAUCUGCCUGCAAUGUGGGAGACCCAGGUUCAAUCCCCGGGUUGGGAA